CCCUUAGAUGUUCUGGGCCGCACGCGCGCUACACUGAUGCAUUCAACGAGCCUAUCCUUGACCGACAGGUCCGGGUAAUCUUUGAAUCUGCAUCGUGACGGGGAUAGAUUAUUGCAAUUAUUAAUCUUCAACGAGGAAUGCCUAGUAGGCGCAAGUCAUCAGCUGGCGUCGAUUACGUCCCUGCCCUUUGUACACACCGCCCGUCGCUCCUACCGAUUGGGUGUGCUGGUGAAAUGUUCGGAUCGGCCGUUUGUCGCGGUUUCCGCGUCAUGUGGCUGAGAAGUUCAUUAAACCCUCCCACCUAGAGGAAGGAGAAGUCGUAACA
rnacentral:rRNA from 1 species